GUCACCUUCCCUUUCCUCUGUCCCCUUCUGUACAUGUAGCGGGCGAUCUGCGAGCUAGGUUAGCAAUUUGCUCCGUCGCCUCUCUCUCCCCAUCUGCUGGAUCACCGUACCUAGUUCUAGCGCCAGUAGCCCUCUUAUCCUCUCAAAUGGCCUCGCCCAGCACGGCCAGCAGCCACCAUCAUCGCUGUCGGGGAGCAUGUAAUCUGUUCAGCCAUCAAAAAGGAGCAGACCAUCUUUUGAGGCUUAAAGAUCCAGAGUAUGAUCUCCUAUUCGAUACAUGUUUCUUCCCGUUUGUCAAUUUGCCCCAAUUGCAGCAUUGCAGUAGAAAACAGGCAAACAGAUGUUGUUCUCAUCCUUAAUUUGUAAAGUGUCCAUGCGUCUUGCAUGCUGUAAAAUACAGUAAAAAUUGUGCAUGAAUGUUAUGAAUUUUAUGUGAAAAUGGCUACCAGGGAGUUAAUUUGCAUGACAGAAGUAGAUUAUAUUUUCUCUGUAUUCUUUUGAUUCACUUUGUUGAUUUAAACUGCACUUUAAUGUCCAGCUGAAUUCUCUGAAAGCAUUACUAGUUCUUCUUAUUCGUGAUUUUUCCUUGUUGCAUUCCACAUUCUAACAAUGUUUUGGAAUUAACGAUACUGAUAUGUGUCACUUGUUAGUACGUCAGUCAUCUUAUUACCAAUUGCAGAUACAAUGAAUUGUUCCGUUGUUAUAUUUCCCCAACUAGUCUGUCAUGGAGUUAGUGGCAAGUGUUGCUCUAAGUGUUGGUUCGACCACAAACAUAAGAGUUGAAGACGACGCCAAUGGCUUUUCUGUGGACGCAAUUUAGUUUUCACAAAUCAUGGAAUAACUACAGCAAGCCAAAACAACAACAACAAUCUUCCAUUUUGUGUAAAGACUGGUUCUCUCAAGUGAUGUGCAAAUUUCGUUCUCUGUUCCAAUGCAAAAUAGUGCCUCUCCACUAGUUGUGAUGGGACAUGAAGUUAAUUGGACUGUGUCUAUAUAUAUGCUCAUGCAGCUUAACAAUUACUUUGUGGCCAAAUCCGCCGGGGGAAUGGUCGAAUGAUUUCUCAGGUUUUGAGAAUUCACUGAAGAUGUGUUGUACUUCAUAUGUACUGUGACACAUAUCUUUUACACGUUAUUUCCUUGUGUCCUUAA